GUUCACCUAAUCUACUCCUGGUGGCGUAUACUCGGCUAAUGCUAUCUCGGUUACUCCCACUCUAUGGUCCGCGUUGACGUGUGCCCGCUCCGGUGGUGCUGUCCGUAGUCAGUGACGUGACGAAGUUCUGUAGUCUAUUAGCUAACCUCCAAUUGUCAAAUUCUGCCGAGUGGUUCCAGAUUUCAAUUUCCAUUUGUGAAAGAAAUGCCGAAAAAUCGUGGAAACAGAACAGGACGGAAUCUUUAAAGUGGGUACCAUUUCGAUUUGUCAUUCGUUGUGUUAUUUCUGAACCAUAUUAGGGUGGACUUCGCAAAGCCGGCUCCGGGCACAUGCCAUGGGGGUUAACAGUUGCAAAUACCAUCCAACCAGGGAAGUUUGGAACACUAGACAGCGUCGUUGACUCCUCUUGUGACGGUGGUGAACUUCUCCGAGGGUGUUUGAAUCGGCAGCAGUUGUAGGUUGCAUAAAAAUGAGAGAAAAGCAUUUAGUAUACUGAAACCCUGGAGCAGAGGGAUAACAGGGUGUACGGUGGAAUUUCGGAAGAAGCGGUGUUGUGGGAUACCACUUACUUACUCGUGACAGUCAGACGGUUCUGUCUGGUGGUAAUGAAAACUCCACAGAACAAACAAAAUUGUACGGAACAGACAUUUGAAUUAUCCAACCCUGGCAGGGUCAGGUUAGAUCUAUAGGUUAUGGUGGAACGGAUUCAUCAGGACUGUAACCAGGUCAUAAACACGGGUGAAAUUCCUUUCACAACGGUAUACGGACCAGAAAACUUCGGAGCCAAUUUGGCUGCAAAGCUAUAAACGGCGGAUGACCACGGAUUAGCACGGUGCAGAACUCUAUCACCGACAUGAAAACGAAAUUCCCUUCGACGGAGGUUGUAAUGGUGAGCCUGUUGCUCAAAUGCACGGUACAACCCGGUAUUGACAAACUCAUAGGCCUCCUGAAGA